GGAAUUUCUAUUGGGUUUCUUUGAAUUCUACCUGUUCAAAUCUGUCUAUUUUGUUUUUAAUAAUUUCUUGGGUUUUUUCCCUUUCAUUACAUCAUUAUUUCCUUAGUUCAUUUCAGAAUCUUAAACAUACUGUUUUUGAAGUUUAUCUUCAGAUUACUAUAUUGAUCUGACAUAAAUUCCUCUUCUGAUUUAUCUGAAAUAAAUUCCCCUUCUGAUUGUUGAUUUAGAUGUUCUCUUUCUUAACUGGCUUACUGACGUUAAUGUGUUUUGUAAUUUUAUCUUGGAGGGCCAAGUUGAGUUUGCAUCUCUUCCUCUCCUUCUGCCUCCACCUUCUCCUCUCUCUGGUGUUCAUGCUCAUGCAUAUGUAUUCCUCUCUGUCACCUCCAUCAAGUUCUCCAGGUGUUGAAGUCCAGAACCAGAUCUUAUAUUGCAGGCUGGGUUUUUCUCUCCCAUAGGGAUAUUGAAGUUAUAACAGAUACAUCCAGUAGGGUUGGUUAACCCAGGUCCCAUUUGUCUCUCUCUUUCCCCCUACAUUUUUUUCUCAUCUUUCUUUUAUGGCUUGGCAUUAUCUUCUCAGUUUCCACCUUUCCACAAUGAGACAGGCUCUGUUCUUUCUAGGAUAUAAGCCAGUUGCCUCUGCCUUCUCCUAGACUUUAUCCCCAGUAAACUUGUGCCUUCAGCCUUGCUGACUGCAUUGUGUUUCUGUUUAGUUUAGUUCUGCGGAUACUUAUCUUGCUUUUAAGUAUAGCAUAUUUUGUACACCUGUCAUUUUUAAUAUUUUAUCUGUUAUUACUAUGUUUGGGGUAUUGGCAGGGAAAGACAAGGGACAAAAGAUGAUCUUGUGAUGUCAUAUUGACUGGAAAUUCUCUGACAGAUUUUUUCAAGUUUGUCUCCUAUAGCUGCGAUUUAAUGUUCUACAGGUCAUUUUCCUUUACUAUCUUCAAAUGAGAUUUUAAUUUUGGCAUUCCUGUUUUAAUUUUCAUGAAAUCCAUUAUUAUUUUAUCAUCUCCUCUUUGAUCUUAACAUGUUCUCUGUUCCUGUUUCAUAGAAGAUAUUUUCCUUUCCUCUUCUUCCUCUCCCCUUCCUCUUCCUGUUUACUUUUGGUUUUUCUUCCUCCUCAUCAUCAUUCUUCUACAUUUUUAAAAAAAUUGAAGGUAAAGUGAAUUUACUUCUGACUCUCAGAGUAAGAUGUUUUUAUAGAUGUGCUGUUCACCUUGAUCAUCCAGACAAUAUUCUUUUUUCCUGAUUUAUAAUAAUAUUUUCAAUGGCCUUGUGUUACUUUGUUUUUCUGUUCAUUCAACCUCAAACAAGAAGAAAUAUUCCAGAUUUGGUUAUGUUAACAGUUUGAUUACUUGGAUUGCUCUUGGCUCCGUUGUUAGUUUUCUUAAAGCUGAAUAUGUACAACUCCUAGACCAAUUAUUAAUGAUAAGCAGGUUUUCAUCUCAUCUGGCAAUGUGGAUAGAGGGUCUUCUAUCUCCAUUUCCUAAUUAUCUUGUACUCUUAAGCUAUUUAGCAAAUUGAAAACUAUUUUUAUUUUCAUUUUAUUAUUUGUUUAUUUGAGGCUGAGUCUUGCUUUAUCACCCAGGCUGGAGUGCAGUGGCGUGAUCUUGGCUCACUGCAACCUCUGCCUCCCGGGUUCAAACGAUUCUCAUGCCUCAGCUCCCUGAGUAGCUGGGAUUACAGGCACCUGCCACCAUGCCUGGCUAAUUUUUGUAUUUUUAGUAGAGACGGGGUUUCCCCAUGCUGACCAGGCUGGUUUCCAGCUCCUAACCUGAGGUGAUCAGCCUGCCUUGGCCUCCCAAAGUGCUAAGAUUACAGGCGUGAGCCAUCGUGCCCCACCCUAUAUCAAUCAAUCUAUCUAUCUAUCUAUCUAUCUAUCUAUCUAUCUAUCUAUUUAUCUAUCUAAUCUCUCUAUAUAUCUACAAAUAUAUAUAUAUCUACAAAUAUAUAUUAUAUGUAUAUAUAUAUAUAUAGAGAGAGAGAUAGAUAUUUUUUGAGACAGUCUCACUCUGUCACCAGGCAGGAGUGCAGUGGCACAAUCUUGGCUCACUGCAACUUCUGCCUCCCCGAUUCAAGCAAUUCUCCUGCCUCAGCCUCCCAAGUAGGUGGGACUACAGAUGUGUGCCACCACUCCUGGCUAAUUUUUGUAUUUUUAGUAGAGACAGGGUUUCAUCAUGUUGGCCAGGAUGGUCUCGAUCUCUUGACCUCGUGAUCUGCCCGCCUGGGUCUCCCAAAGUGUUGGGAUUACAGGAGUGAGCCACUGCACCCAACAGACACCCAGUCCUAUUUUUAAAGAAAAACCUUUUACACACUCCUCCCAGUAUUUCCCUUCUUGGAUCUAUACACUUUAUUUUUGUAUUAUGUCUUCAAAAAUGCAAAGCACCACCUUCAGUAUCCCCAGGAUGGCUACUGAGUGUUUCAAUUGGUAUAGUUUUCGUGUUUCUCAACCAUGGGAUGGCCUAAUGAGGGGAGUAUAUCAUGUCCCUAUUUACUUUUUUCGAUGGCAGGUGUCAUUGGUUUUCUGCUGCAUAGACCUGCCAUGUCUUUAGUUUUGCUUUUCAUUGUAUUGCCAUUGGGGGAGCCACAGUUUUGAGGCUAUUACCACAUGUGCUAGAAAUAAUAAUCACUCUCCUUCUUAAUAUUUGGGAAGCAUAAUAGAUUUUAGUCUUUUUUGUAUCUUCAUGGAUAAUCAUAGAGAAAAAAAUUGAGAAACCAAAUCAGACCUGAAGCCAUUUAAAUUGGAAGUCAUAUAGACAAAUCCAUAUUUCUAGGAGCAAAUUCUAUUUUCUUAGUGGUGGUGCUGGGGUUUUGUUUGUUUUCAAAUUUUAAACAUUCUUAUUACCUAUGCACACUCAAACUUCAACUCUCCUUAUGUAUAGAACUCCCAAGGAAGUUCUAUGUGGGAAAACUUUGAGAAGUUAUCCUUUGGAGAAGAAUUUUAGAAGAGUAAACUUGGGAAAGUUUACUCAUCUAGAAAGUAUGGACAUUUUUCAUAAUUUUUAAAAUUAUGAGCUCCACCAGUGGUGAUGUUUAAACCCUUUCACAACUGGUAGACUUAAAAAUCAGAAUGGAUGCUGGACAAAAUGCUGGGAGGGAGACCUGUUAUUCCAGGCAUUCAUUCAUUCAUGCUAGAUCAUGGGGAAAUUGAAGGAGUCAUGAGGGGGAAGCUAGCAAAGCAGAUGGGGGAGGGAGGUUAGGAUCCACUUGGGACUCAAAACAGCAACUCUUUGCCUGUAGGAGUACGUCAAUACAUUAAUAGAUAAUAUGCUGGUAGCUGAACAUCAGUCCCAGCCCUGGAUUCUAACCACCUGUCUAAGUACCUGUCUUAUAAUAAGCACAAAAUAUGUGUGGAAUAAGGGAAUGGACAACAAAUAGAUAUACGCAUAAGGGUGUGCCUAACCCAAAUGGAAGUGCACAGUGACGCUAGGAGAUGUUUUUCUAUCAAUAAAACAAGAUUAUGAUACUUGCCCUUUCUCUAUUUCAUAAAGAGAACUAUGAAAAGACACUUAGAGAAACAAUUCAUUUUGCUGCUGUUAGGAGAAAAACGCCUGCUGAAUCAAUUCUGGGUGUUGUUGUUGACAAAAUGUGUGGCACCUUGUGGGAGCCAGUUCAGUCAAGAACAGCAGUGAUACUAAUCAUAGUCAUAUCAUCACAGGCCUAAUUUACUUUUCAGUCAGAGUUAAUAAGCAAAGUGGUAGUCUGAAAAUUAGCAUUCAUUUUCUUCUGCAAAAUAUUUUCAAUGCCUCUUGAUGAAGAGUGAACCAAAGGCAGGCAAAGGUUCCUUUCAGGUAGUUUGUACCCAGUUCUCCAGAGCUGCUUACUGUCUACCCCACCUGCCAUGCAAAUACAAUUAAUAUGCAACUUUGAGAAACCCCCCUGCCCCCCAACACCCAAGUGAACACACCACCAAAGGAAAUUCCUUGAAUGGUUGCACACUGGCCUUGGAGAAUCAGCCUCUGUGUGCUCCUGCUCGGCUUUCUCCAUUCGCCUCCAGUCUUCCCAGCCCGUAUGGGCAAUCAUCGCACUUCAUUGUCCAGUACCAUCAUUACAAUAUUGUUAUCAUCUGAGCUGGAGUCUGACACUUUCUCUAAGACCUUUCAAAUAACCCCUUUACUAGGCUUCAGUACCAAACCAUUCAGGGCAAAUCUCUGCUUUGUGCUUGUCAGCCUUAAUAGACUGGAUGUCACUUGAGCCUGUAAAAAGUGCCUGCUCCUCAGCUGUCAGUCAGUCCUGGUGGUGUCAGCUGAGAGCGUGGCUGGAGCUGGCUGGAUUAGAGGGUAGUUACCAUAGCUGUCAAAUUACUGACAGCCUGACACCCACACUCCCAACUUCCUCUUACUGUAUUUGGUUUCUAUCAAGCUCUCUGGACCUUUCUUAAGGUGGAUCUCUCUGUUGGAAACAGAUCAUAAUUUGGUUAGCAUCUUCAGAAGUUGGGCUCUUUUCUUGCCUGCUCUGGUUUUCAGAAAGACCCUUACUUUGAGCAGCUUUUAUAUUUCAGUGAAUAUUUUUAACCUCAUUUCAGCAAAGAGUACCACUUCCCUACACUUUCCAUGUUAAUGGAAACUCUGUGUGUGUGUGUAUUUGUUUCAUCAUCCUAAUUCAAGAAUAUAUAGCCCAUGCCCAAAAUGUUUCCUCUUAUCUCUUUUACAUCCAUAGUAUUUUCAUCCUCCUCUUCAGUGAUAUCUUUGCUCUGGCCCUUUGUGUUAGAUGUGAAGCUCAGUUUGAGUGUGUGUGUGUGUGUGUGCAUGUAUGUGUGUGUCUACGUGUGCAUUGUCGGGUGUGGGUAUAUAUAGAACUGUUGACUUAUCUAUGAAUGUUUGUGGAUAUAUAGAUAUUCAUACCUAAUGAAAGGCAGUCAGCUAACAGCCAAGGCAGGAAAAACAAAUUGGCACCUCUCCAAACUGUGCCUUAGUUAACAUUCACCUUCCAUACAGCCAAUUAGUGAAUGAAGUUUACCCCUCUUUCCUACCUAUUCUCCUUCUUCCCACUUUUCAUUCAUGCCUUUUCCUUCUUCCUCCUUUCCAUUUCCCCGCUUUUACUCGUUUUCACAUUUGAUAUGGGUUUACUAUCUUGUAGUCCCCAGGCUGGACAGCAGGCAAACAAAAAUGAAUGUGACUAUACCCGUGUACAAAAGUUCACAGCUGCCUGCUCACAUUCCUCAGGCAGGAGUGACGAGCUGCCUGGAACCAGCAGCUGAGGCACCCAAAGACCCGGUGUCUCUAAACAGCUUCUAUGCUUCCUUCCCUAAACUGCACCAGUGCCUGCCUGGGCUGAGCAGCAAGAGAGACAUCUGUGAUAUCUGAUGACAAUCAUCUCUGAUUAGAGUGUCACUAUAUAGCACAGGUGAGCAGGGGCCACAGCUAAUUAGCUAUGUGAGGCUAGCACUCUGUUUACUGGAACUGUACUAACAAGUUGCAGCUUUUUCCAACGCAGAAGAGUCAUCGCACACAUGCCAGCCAGGAGCCCUUUACUCCAACAGUUUAGGGACAGAGGUGCUACUUCCUUACUACACAAAAACCAUGAAACAUGAAUAUCUUUGUGCUGAGAGCCACUUUUAAUCUAUGUUUCCACCUUUCAUAAGCUGUCACUUAAAGAGAUAGUAAAAUAAGUUGCUUUAUAGAAUCUGAUAUUACUCUAAGAGGAUUUACACUUUUAAAUGAGUAUUUCUUUUUUCUUUGUUAGCAGUCCUUGGGUUGUAUCAGGGAAUCAGCUAAGUCUGAGAAACAUAGCUAAGAUGGGCCUUCUCAUUUGAGUUAAAAGGGUGACAGAAGCAGAGGAAAAGACUAGAAGUUUAGUGGGAAUUAAAGAGACAAGCUCUGUCUUAUUCCAUUGAUAUUUGAUAGAUUUGUUGUUCACAAACAUAAUGUGUUGAAGGAUAUAUUUUCAACUUUUGCUAUAGAACCAGCAUGGUUGAAAUAAUUUUAAAGGUAUUCUAAGUUUUUUUCAAUGUAAGGGAAAAUUUCCAUGUAAAUUUUUAUUCACCUGUUAGAAGAGCUUCUCUGAUACCUUCAAGAAGUGAUAGGCCAUUUUGUAGCUUUCAUUUCCUUUAGAAACAAAUGCAGACAUUUCAUGACAAAUGAAUUCGGCACAUUUAGGGGAGCAGUUAAUGCUGAUAUGUCUCUUAUUAUUAUGGGAGCAUGAUCUCAAAUACUUUUACACCUUGGGAAUUGAGAAACUUCGGAGUACUUUGCAAAGUUAAUGAAAAUUAGCAGUAUCAUCCUCUGAAUUACUUCUGCCAGAAGCCCAAAUUUUCACAAAUGGACCCAUUUUUUCAUGUAGCAAAUCUACCGUCUACUCUUACACAGUCCCCAAUUUUUUGGUCAUAGACCAGUAUUUUGCUGAGUUCCUACUCUCUUUCUUAGUCAAAAUCAGUUUGCUUAGAGACUUUCAGGAAACAGGAUUUCAAAAUAAUUCUAAAAGCCGGUAUAUUGUUAUAUAAGUGGAUGACUUUUCAUGGGCUCUUACACUCGGAAUUGAUAAAUAUUUUUAUUCAUUUUCCAGUGAAAACUAUGGAUUAUACAUCUUGAAAAUAUGUGCAGUGCUCCUAGCACCAUUGGGUGAAAUGAAAUCUAUUAGGAGUAUAAAUAUUUUCAGUAAAGUCUGUUAUGAAUGUAGUAUUUAAUUUUGGCGCUGUUUAAAAUUCAUUUAUUUAUAUUUAUCAUCAAAAGCACACUUCAGAGUGGAUUUCAAUAAACAUCCAUAUUUAGAAAUUCAAAAAUGUAUUAAACAUGUUCAUUCAUUUCUUGUUGGUAAUUUAAAACAAGCAAACUUUUUUUCUUAAUAAAAGUGUUUUUUUUUUUUAAUUUCUUUAACUUUAAACAAAAUUCUCUCUCCAGGUGGAAAGUUGAUUACCAAUCUUUGGUCUGGAGGUAAAUUUUACAGCUGUUUUAAACCCAUGAAAGUGGGUCUUAUAUUGGAAGUGCUGACACAGCCUUAUCCACCGUGGAUCAGCAUGAACUAUACCGCUGUAAUAAGCAGUUAUUAUGUAUGUGUAAAAAUAAUGAGAGGCCGUGUCUGAAGAGAGUUAAUGUAAAAUGCUAAGCAAUUAUAGUUGGUUACACAGUAUAGGUUAAUAUUCCUUCAUAUAGCUGCAUUUUUUCUUCUUUUGUCCUCCAGAACUCCUAAUGAAAAUUUUGAGACCUGACUGUAAUGAUAAGCAGCCAUUCACACGUCCUUUGUGUCAAGGCUGUUGCAUUAAUGCUUCCCUUCAUAUAACAUUUUGCAUAGCCUAAAGCAUCUAUUAAAAUCCUUUGUAAAAUUCAUGAAACAAAAGUGGUGGGUUGAGUCUAGGGGGAGAGAAAGUAAGCUGCUUAUUAGCAAAAAGUCAAAAACACAGGGCCAAUUACAGAUCUGAACAAGAAGGGCUAAGGAACAGCGUGGGGAGUAAUUCUUUCUUCAGCCCAAUGGGCUCAAGCGAGGGGCAGGUUAAAUGAAAAUAGAGCAACAGUCUGAGCAGUAAUUAAACGGAAAUGUUUGGAGUUAGAAACAGCUCUAUAACAACAGGAAGAAAUGCUCAACUAAAACAAUUGUCUAGCCUCACGAACAUGCUAAAUUGGAAGGAUUUAGGGGUUGUUCCCUAAAGGAGAGACUGCGGGUAGUGAAGGGGAGCAGGGGCUCAGGAGAUAUGUAAAGAAUCUGUUUGGUAUUUCAAAUGUUAUAAAUUAGAUUUAUAAAGAGACAGAGAGACAGAGAGAGAGUAUGCCUUCCUAUUGAACCAGCAACAUAAAACUGAAUAAACCACAAUAAGAUUGCCCUUUUUCUGUUAUAAACUUGGCAUUAAGCUUGUCAUGUUCAAUGACAGCCUACUAGGCCUCAUGCUUUACCCUUUGGAAUUUGAAAGAUUGGCAGGUGUCAUGAUUUCCUUAACAUAAAAGACCUUGCAGAUAAUGUUCACCAUGCACAUUUAUACUUCCAUAACUCCACUUCCCUCGUUUUGGUAUCGUCAGGUGAGCUUUCCACGCAGGCUGUUGGUGCUGGGGCUGCCCAGAAGCCUGUCUGGCCUGAGGACAAUGUUUACUGCAAAAGGAGCUUGCAGUAGAGGCCGUACUUUUAUGAUUCUCCUUAGCAGUCUAAACAUGCCCCACAUUUACAAUAAUGAGCUGCUUUGUAGAGAGCGGCUCUCUGAGAGCAUUGUUACUUUUCUUUGAAAUGUUGAAUGCAACCAGAAUGGCUCUUGUCUGACUUAAGGCUAGAAACAGGGUCUCAUUUAAACAAUAAUCCCCUCUCUUUGCAACCACCCACCCCAGCCAGAUCCUUCCAAUAACUCCAAGAGAAAAAAGUAAAAUCAACGUUGAGGGAAAUACAAACUCCCAUUGAAGGCUAAGAGUUCCGUUUCAAUUGGUAUCACCUAAGGGCAACUGUUUGCUACCAACCAAUGCCACUUGAAAAUAAACAAAUGGAUCUUUUCAGAAGAAUUAGUGUCAAGAAUGAGAAUCUUACAUUUUUUCCAACCCGAAGAGAAAGUAUGAGUAGUUGGCUAGGCAUUAACCAUUUACAAAAUAGUUUCAUAUGGGAUUUCAAUAAAUCUGGCCCCAUACAUUUUAAUCUUUUUAUUAUGGAAAAAAAUACAUAUAGAAAAGAGACAGAAUAACCUAAUAACUCCGUGUAUACUCAUCAUUCAGCUUUAAUGAAUAUCAUCUCAUGCUCAUGGUCAUUCUGGUUUCACUAAUGCCCCGUCCACUCCCCGACUUGUUUAGUUUUGAAGCAAACCCUAGGCAUCAUUUAAUUUAUCACAUCUAUAAACAUUUCAGGGCCUAUGUCUAAAAGAAAAGAAUUCCUUUGCUUUUUGUUUUAACAGAUCAAGGAAAUAUUUUGAACCUCCAACCCUUUGAGAGUUUUGUGGACUUUUUUUUUCCAUGAGCUGCAUUUCUCAAAAUAAUAUAAUCGUAUCAUAUAUUAGAAAUAUAAAGAAAAUCUCAAGAGCAUCACUGGUCUCCGGUUUGCUUUGGAGGCGCGUUUUCUCACUUAUUUCGGAGAUUUGGGUAACUGAAUUUUUCUUCUGUUAGCCAUUGUCAUAUUACUUGUAAAUUUUCACUUUUGGCAUUCAAAUCAAUAACAUUUUAAUAUAUCUAUCUUCUUAGAAAUUGUUUUCACAAAAAUCUUGACUCAAAAGUAUAUAUUGGGCACUUACUGUGUGCCAAGUUCUGCAUUAGGUACAGGAAGCCAAGCAGCCAGGCAAGGGAAGCAAGACACAGAAAAUUAAUCUCCCCUCUCACUGAUCCCCAAACUUUGCUGGACAUCUUACAGGGGUUGUGGCAUUUGAUUGCCUUCUAUAUUGGUAGAUGUUGCUAGAUAAAAAAUAAAUAUGUUUUUUGAAAAAGGAAUAGGAAAUUUGUCCUUUCCCAUCCUAAUACUACUGUUGUUUCCUUAAUGGCCCCAAAAGAUAAAUAUUUUACUCAGAUGUAAACCAUGUGAACGCCUCAGUCAUUGGUAUAAGGUUUACCUAAGUCUUACAAAGAAAAAUAUCCCUAUCCUUAUGAAUACAUUGUAAAUAUACAAGAGUGAAUUAUUAUAUUUUUUAAAAUCUAAAUAGAUUUCUUUUUUAAUUAAAUAAAGCAUUUUUUCCUAUUUUCUUACCUUGAUAUUUUCAAUAAUUGGCAAAAAAUAUAUAGCAAUUUUAAAAUGGCAAUAUUUUUUCUCUGAUUUCCUUAGAACAUCAAAGGGGUAAGACUUGAUCAUUUGACUGGACAAGAUGAUGUACUUUUCUUUAAGGAAUGGAAGAUACUGAUUCUUUAAAACUUUUUUUAUUGUUAUGUACAAAAGACUAUUUGCAACAUAAAUUUGAAUUACAAAGCAUAAUAUUAAAAUGAACAGUGUGACCUUCCACCCAAUUCAAAACUAUGACACCACCAAAGCCUUUGACACCUCCACUCUGCCCCCAUUUCCAGCUCUUGAGGUAAUUUUAUCCUGAAUUUUCUAUGUAUACUAUUUUAUAGACUUUAAAAAAUAAAUUUGCUAUAUAUGUGUAUAUUACUAUGAUUGUUCAGUUUUGUUUGUUUUGAGACUUUAUAAAGUAGUACCAUAUCCUAUGUGGUCUUUUAAAACUUGCUUUUCUCAUUUCAUAUUAUUUCUCUGAGAUUCAUUCCGAACAUAUGUGCCUAUGUUUUUAUGUGUCAUUCAUUUUCUCUAUUGUAUAAUACUCCAUUUUGUGAAUAGAAGAUAAUUAUUUGUCCAUUACUUUGUCAAUGGGCAUUGAGUGGGUUCUGGUGUGUUGGCUUGUUCAUUUGCUAUUAUUACACACAACAGUGCUGUGAACAUUCUUAAUUUUGUCUCCUGGUGUGUAUAAGCAAGAAUUUCUCUAAUACUCAUUUUUUUCCUCCUAAAAAUUUCACUAAUGGCAGUGGGGGAUAUACUGGUACCCUUUUUCUAUUAAUAAAGCCCUAUUAAGUUCCACAAAUUAUUUUAAUUUAAAGUGAAAAUGAUAGUUUUGAAAGCAUAGCUCUGAUGUACAUAGGACAAUGGUAUCAUGACUCAACAGCUGGAAGAUAUAGCAUGGAUUGGCUCAUGAAGCCCUUGAACUGGGAGAGUGAACCAAGAUAAAAAUGUCAGAAGUUUCUGAACUGAAGGACCCAAAAAACUGCUCAAGGAAACCAUGCUGAAAGUGGCUUAGUUCCAUUUGCUAAAAGAGGUUGCAUUAAUAAGAAGGGGGCAUAAAAGGAAACAGAGUCAUUUUAUGCCACAUGAUUGUGGGAACUUCAUUUAAGCUACUCUUUUUGUUUUCCAAAAGAGCAUCAUAAACAAAACAAAACAAAAGGAAAAAAAUACUCAUAUGGUGUCAAUCUCCAGAAUAUUAAAUGAAAAUGCAUGUUUGGCAAAAUACCUCAGGAUUUUCUAAACUAUUAUCUCCCUAUAGUUUCACUAACAUGUUAACCUACUUAGAGCAAUUAGUGCUUCAUUAGUAAGGCUAACUAACUGUUGCCGGGCCCUGUAAUGAUUUGCCAGGCUUUCCAGAUACAAGUGCAUAAUCAAUGUUUUCCAAUUACUUCUAUAGUGCAACCACUAUUUCAAAUAAACUAGAUAAUAAUACAAACCCAUUACUGGAGCUGAAGUAGCAGAGGCAUUUAAUUGCUAGGCAGUUCUUCUCAGCUUUUAAAAUUUUUCACACUAAUGAAGUGUCAUACAAAAAAGUUGUAUUGAUUUUUCCACCACAUGGCUUCAACCACAAAUAUGUAAUUAUCCCUUUUAUAUCUAGCUGGGGGAUUAAAAUAAUCUAUAGUAUAUAGCCUUUACUUAUCCCUGAUGGGUUUAGUAGUACUUUUACCCUUUUCAAAAUAUGCAGCCCUUUGAUGAAUGAACUUUAGGCAAAAUGUUGCUUUAUCUGUUUCAAAUCUUUGCUUUUUAAAGUCAGUUUGUGUGCAGGCGUUAAAGUAUGAAAUCUCGAGCUUCUGAAACCUCCUAAAGAACACAUUCUGAUAUAAUUUAACUUACUGACUGCAUCAUAGAUAUUUUUCUCCACUAAAGAAAUCAACAUGGGUAUACAGUAUUGCACAUUAGCCAUGCCUACAUUUGCAUUUCACUGUACUUACAUUUUUAUUCAUAGCUAACAUUUUAUUAACCAUGUUAUAUUUUUACACAAAUAAAGUGUUCUCGGCAUUAAUUGGAGCCAAUUCUUUCCCACGUUUUCAGAAAAAAAAAAAACGUAAGAAUAAUCCACUGGCAUUAAAUUUCUUAUUUUCUCAUCACAGUUUGGUCAAUAAACGAGGGGGAAAAAGUAUUUUCUUUAUGAAAAGAGAAAGUCAUUAUAAGUAUAAAAUGAAUUUUGCAGAGAUCAGAUAUUAAUGCCGGGAGCAUAGGGCUUUUUAAAAAUUAGCCUGUCUUUCUUGAUCUUUUUACACAUAAAUUGGUUCCUUUCAGCAUUUUUGCUGAAAAUUCUUUUGGUUACACUUUAACAUUAUUUCAAUUAUGGUCAGUGUAAAAGUAGAUUCAAAAGGGUAAAAAAUACAGCUUAAAUGUCUGCAAGACCUUGUUCAUAACAUUCAUAUGUCAAAAACUGUAUCUCCCUAUAGUUUGAGUAACACGUUAACCUACUUACCACCCUGAGUUUUCCCAGACGCAAGGAUUUUUUAGAUUUCUUGCCUUUCUGUGUUUUGUGGUUUGAGGAAACAUUCACAGUCAAAUUAUAUUCCAAAGUUUGAAAAUUCUGUCAAGGUGACUGUGGAUAUUUUUUUAAAUAAGUCAACAUUGGAAAAUGGCAAAAAUUUAGUGGUGUAGAGAUAUAAACUUAAUUUUUUGGGUGACAUUUUAAACCUAGGUAUUUCAUGUUAACUUUAAAAUUUUUCCAAGCAGAGGAUUUAUGGAAAAACAAGUGACUAUAAAGAACUGCUUCAUACCAAGAAGAACAGGCUAAAAAUAAAAACAUCCAAAGUUACCAUGGAUAUGUAGAUCUCAAUAAUAAUUACAGUAUGUUUAAUCUGUUUUCAUAAAUGUUGCAAACAUUCCUUUUUUAAGUAUCAAUUUUAUAUACUGUGCUAUCGUACCAAAUUGUAAAAGAAGCAAACAUAAACAAGUAUAUUUUUAAAAUAAAUAAAACUAUGAAUUUAAAGGCCAGUUAUGUAUAAUAUUUGCAUCUAACAUCUAUGGAAAAUAUCUUUCAUGGUAGAGGUGAGAUCUGCAGAUGGAGGGUAAAGGCAAAUGAAAAAUGGGUAAAGUAGGGCAGCUUGGAUACUAAGGAAAGCUACAGUUUAUUUUUAAAUUAAUUCACACACAUAAUGUUUUAGUAUUGAUUUCUUUUUAAAAAUGCCCUUGGAUUUAUUCUACAUGAUUCUUCCUAUAUGGAGGAUUAGUGUCCCUGGCCUUCUGUUGUUUGCUUUUCUUAUAUUUUAAAACAUUGGUCUAAUCAUCUUUAGGGAUCCAGAGAAGCAGUGGUCAUGUCCACGCUGGAACAGGUCGAGAGGUGAUAUUCCUUCUAAUGUAACAUACACUAUUAGUUUCAACCUUGAUUUCCACAUGCUAUGUACAGUAUACAUGCAGCCUUAUGUGGUGGUAAAAUACAAGUAAGAAAUAUGACUGUAUCAAAAACAGAUUAUCGUCAGGAAUUGUGAGAAAGAUAAAAAGUGGAAUUUCUGUCAAGAAGAAAGAAUGAGAUGAGCUCCGCACUAUGGAUUUCAACUCUCCAGUCUGCAUGUGACUGGGAGUGGUGCAUGUUUCCAAGAUACUAAAACGCCAUUACCUUGACCGUCGACAUGAAGCGAUCAGAGUCAUAUUUAUUGAUGAAACCCUCAGCUCCCAACCUGCCGCACUGAGUGUGCAUCAUACAGCUGUCAGCAGAGCCAGGGCACCACAGCGAUGAGUGCUUGUGACAUUUCCCUUUCAUAAUUUAUGAAAACAAAAGAUCUUGAAGUUUGUAGGACACCAGAGUAAUUUUAAAAUAGUCUUCACGAAGGCUAUAUUGUGGUCCGUACAAUAAGCACUUUCCUGGCUUACGGUUUUUAGGAGAAUCAAUUGCAAACCAAAUUAGAACCAUAAACACGGCCAUUAUUUAAGGAUUCUAAUCCUGACAUGAGGGUUACAAGUACAACCAGCUAUUUAGGGUGGUGGUUAAUUACCAUCAUGCCAGAGCAUAAUUCUCUUCAUCGUGUGUGAUGGUUUCACCUACACAUGAUUUCACAGGGGUUUUAUGAGUUUAAGACCCUAAAAAUCCACUUAAGUAUUUUACUUCUUCAAGGUAAUAUUUUUCAUCUGUGACACUGCUUGGUAGCUAAAAGAGAAAGCAUUAUUUAAAACUAAAAACUUUAAGCAAAGAGCAAAAGGAUUGAGUCUUCCAUACUAUUAUAUUAGAUUUGAUUGAACAAGUCAGUAAUGACCAUGAACUGUAAUUU
rnacentral:lncRNA from 10 species